UGCAGGUAAGAGUCCUUAGUCCG
rnacentral:misc_RNA from 1 species